rnacentral:rRNA from 1 species
AUUGAACGCUGGCGGCAUGCCUUACACAUGCAAGUCGAACGGUAACAGGUCUUCGGAUGCUGACGAGUGGCGAACGGGUGAGUAAUACAUCGGAACGUGCCUAGUAGUGGGGGAUAACUACUCGAAAGAGUGACUAAUACCGCAUGAGAUCUACGGAUGAAAGCAGGGGAUCGCAAGACCUUGUGCUACUAGAGCGGCCGAUGGCAGAUUAGGUAGUUGGUGGGAUAAAAGCUUACCAAGCCGACGAUCUGUAGCUGGUCUGAGAGGACGAUCAGCCACACUGGGACUGAGACACGGCCCAGACUCCUACGGGAGGCAGCAGUGGGGAAUUUUGGACAAUGGGCGAAAGCCUGAUCCAGCAAUGCCGCGUGCAGGAUGAAGGCCUUCGGGUUGUAAACUGCUUUUGUACGGAACGAAAAGCCCCGGGUUAAUACCCUGGGGUCAUGACGGUACCGUAAGAAUAAGCACCGGCUAAUUACGUGCCAGCCGCCGCAGUAA